rnacentral:rRNA from 1 species
AUUGAACGCUGGCGGCAUGCUUUACACAUGCAAGUCGAACGGCAGCGCGGGCUUCGGCCUGGCGGCGAGUGGCGAACGGGUGAGUAAUGCAUCGGAACGUGCCCAGUAGUGGGGGAUAGCCCGGCGAAAGCCGGAUUAAUACCGCAUACGACCUGAGGGUGCAAGCGGGGGACCGAAAGGACUCGCGCUAUUGGAGCGGCCGAUGUCGGAUUAGCUAGUUGGUUGGGUAAAGGCUUACCAAGGCGACGAUCCGUAGCUGGUCUGAGAGGACGACCAGCCACACUGGAACUGGGACACGGCCCAGACUCCUACGGGAGGCAGCAGUGGGGAAUUUUGGACAAUGGGGGCAACCCUGAUCCAGCCAUGCCGCGUGCGGGAAGAAGGCCUUCGGGUUGUAAACCGCUUUUGUUCGGGAAGAAAUCCUCUGGGCUAAUACCCCGGGGGGAUGACGGUACCGGAAGAAUAAGCACCGGCUAACUACGUG